CACGUAGGGCGCGAGCGUUGUCCGGAAUUAUUGGGCGUAAAGGGCGCGUAGGCGGCGGGUCAAGUCGAGUGUGAAAGCCCCGGGCUCAACCUGGGAGGUGCGCUCGAGACUGGUCUGCUUGAGUUCGGGAGAGGAGAGUGGAAUUCCCAGUGUAGAGGUGAAAUUCGUAGAUAUUGGGAAGAACACCGGUGGCGAAGGCGGCUCUCUGGACCGAGACUGACGCUGAGGCGCGAAAGCGUGGGGAGCAAACAGG
rnacentral:rRNA from 1 species